AACGAACGCUGGCGGCGUGCUUAACACAUGCAAGUCGAGCGGAAAGGCCUCUUCGGGGGUACUCGAGCGGCGAACGGGUGAGUAACACGUGAGCAACCUGGCCUUCACUUUGGGUAGUAACCCUCGGAAACGGGGGACGUAAUACCGGAUAUUCAUUUAUUGCCGCAUGGUGUGGGGUGGAAAGAUUUUUGGUUGGGGGAGUGGC
rnacentral:rRNA from 1 species